CAGUCGCCGCGGUAAUACGGAGGGAGCUAGCGUUGUUCGGAAUUACUGGGCGUAAAGAGCUCGUAGGCGGUCUGUCGCGUCGAAUGUGAAAAUCCGAGGCUCAACCUCGGACCUGCAUUCGAUACGGGCAGACUAGAGUUCGGUAGGGGAGUCUGGAAUUCCUGGCGUAGCGGUGAAAUGCGCAGAUAUCAUGAGGAACACCGGUGGCGAAGGCGGGACUCUGGGCCGAUACUGACGCUGAGGAGCGAAAGCGUGGGGAGCAAACAGGAUUAGAUACCCCCGUAGUCCCUGUCUCUUAUAA
rnacentral:rRNA from 1 species